UCCUUGAAAUACCACCCUUUAAUGGCUGGUGUUCUAACGUAGACCCGUGAUCCGGGUUGCGGACAGUGUCUGGUGGGUAGUUUGACUGGGGCGGUCUCCUCCCAAAGAGUAACGGAGGAGCACGAAGGUUAGCUAAUCCUGGUCGGACAUCAGGAGGUUAGUGCAAUGGCAUAAGCUAGCUUGACUGCGAGAGUGACGGCUCGAGCAGGUGCGAAAGCAGGUCAUAGUGAUCCGGUGGUUCUGAAUGGAAGGGCCAUCGCUCAACGGAUAAAAGGUACUCCGGGGAUAACAGGCUGAUACCGCCCAAGAGUUCAUAUCGACGGCGGUGUUUGGCACCUCGAUGUCGGCUCAUCACAUCCUGGGGCUGAAGUAGGUCCCAAGGGUAUGGCUGUUCGCCAUUUAAAGUGGUACGCGAGCUGGGUUUAGAACGUCGUGAGACAGUUCGGUCCCUAUCUGCCGUGGGCGCUGGAGAAUUGAGGGGGGCUGCUCCUAGUACGAGAGGACCGGAGUGGACGCAUCACUGGUGUUCGGGUUGUCAUGCCAAUGGCACUGCCCGGUAGCUAAAUGCGGAAAAGAUAAGUGCUGAAAGCAUCUAAGCACGAAACUUGCCCCGAGAUGAGUUCUCCCUGA
rnacentral:rRNA from 1 species